GUGUCAGCCGCCGCGGUAAGACGAACCGUGCGAACGUUGUUCGGAAUCACUGGGCUUAAAGGGCGCGUAGGCGGGCCAUCAAGUCCGGGGUGAAAUCCUUCGGCUUAACCGGAGAAUUGCCUUGGAUACUGGUGGUCUUGAGGGAAGUAGGGGUCUGCGGAACUUCCGGUGGAGCGGUGAAAUGUGUUGAUAUCGGAAGGAACGCCGGUGGCGAAAGCGGCGGACUGGGCUUCUUCUGACGCUGAGGCGCGAAAGCUAGGGGAGCAAACGGGAUUAGAUACCCCGGUAGUCCUAGCCCUAAACGAUGGGUACUAGGUAGCAGACUAGACAUGGGUUUGCUGCCGAAGCAAAAGUGCUAAGUACCCCGCCUGGGGAGUAUGGUCGCAAGGCUGAA
rnacentral:rRNA from 1 species